GCCCAUGUAGCUCAGGGGUAGAGCAACUGUUUUGUAAACAGUCGGUCGGCGGUUCGAAUCCGUCCAUGGGCU
rnacentral:tRNA from 1 species